UCUUCCAUAUCAGUAUCAGUUAGACUUGUAAAUGAUACUACCAAAAUAUCAAUUGAAAUCGAGCUCAAUGCUAUUAUUGCACCAUCGCUUGUCCUGGCUGAGAUGGCCAAAGAACUUGAGAACUUUCUGAACAACAGGUACACGGCCAUGGUUGAUCCAGCAUUGACGGAGGUGAUCAGAUACCUAAUGCAUGUCUCCUCUUAGAAGUCGAUUCGAGACGCAACUCUUCCCAGUGUUCCCAUAUUUCCCAGGCUUUGAAUUUCUGUACAACUCACCAAAAAAAUAAUUAUUUGAUACUAACUUGUGAAGAA